GGUUUCCUAGGGGGGCAGCAGUGGGGGAUAUUGCACAAUGGGGGAAACCCUGAUGCAGCAACGCCGCGUGUGGGAAGAAGGUUUUCGGAUUGUAAACCACUGUUCUUGGUGAAGAUAAUGACGGUAACCAAGGAGAAAGCUCCGGCUAACUACGUGCCAGCAGCCGCGGUAAUACGUAGGGAGCAAGAGUUGUCCGGAUUUACUGGGUGUAAAGGGUGCGUAGGCGGUCUUGCAAGUCAGACGUGAAAACCACAGGAUCAAACUGAG
rnacentral:rRNA from 1 species